AGAACAUAGGACCUUCUGACUGCUAAUUUGAACUCCACAAGCAUCAUGUCGAUGGCAGAAGGGACAUUAUCAUUCGUUGCUUAGUUGAGUAUCUUGGAGAGAGUGGAGAGGAGCUGAUCAAAGACCAUCAGGAGGACGUCAGCCAAGAAGCAUUGAAAGAGGACUGCAGUAAUCACAUGAUGAAGAUCAUCGUAAUCCAUCCCAAUGUGGCACAGGAAAACCAAGAUCCUGUGAACGUGUCGGUCAUCAUUGAGGGGACAGAAAUUCUGGAGGACUGCGGAAGUGUGACAAACGCUUGCCUCCUGCUCAUGGGUGUCAUCUAUGCUGUCAACUUAAGUUACCCACUGAAACUGAAAUAUACGUUUGAGGUAUUUCAGAAGCUGUUUCUUGAGCUUGACAUCCUUAAAAUGUCACCAAAGGUCCAGUCUCUCCACAAGAAACUUUUAGCGUGAGUGUUCCAGUGUUAUUUGUGCUUUUGUCCAGUACAAUUAAUUUGUUUGCAUUUUGUCUGUUUUCUGACAGUAAUUUCAAAUGUUGCUCAGUUUUAUACAAGUUCUUUCUGUCCUGAACGUUCUGAGAAUGUCUGCAAAGGUAGUGAUUGCAACUGUUAAUGGACAGAGUUGAUGUAUGUGUUCUGAAAGUUGAUUAGAAGAAAGGGGACAGUGCACACUGAGUUUUUGAAUAGCAUGUUGUUGUUUUUUUUGUAUAUGUGUAUAUGCUCUGUUUUGAAAUUUGCGAUCAAGAAGUUCUAUGGCCAUGUUUUUUGUGGUUAUAAUGUUAUGUAGAUAUUUUAAAUAUAUCUAUGCCAUUUCAACUGUGAAAUAAAA